rnacentral:rRNA from 1 species
GACGAACGCUGGCGGCGUGCUUAACACAUGCAAGUCGAACGAAGUGGCGAACGGGUGAGUAACGCGUACUCAACCUGCCCUUCAGAGGGGGACAACAGUUGGAAACGACUGCUAAUACCGCAUCCUGAAGGCGGGGAUUGCGUCUGAUUAGCUAGUUGGAGGGGUAACGUCCCACAAAGGCGAUGAUCAGUAGCCGGGCUGAGAGGAUGAACGGCCACAUUGGGACUGGGACACGGCCCAGACUCCGACGGGAGGCAGCAGGGGGGAAUCUUCCGCAAUGGACGAAAGUCUGAUGGAGCAACGCCGCGUGAGUGAUGACGGCCUUCGGGUUGGAAAGCUCUGUUAAUCGGGACGCGGUACCGGAAUAGAAAGCCAUGGCUAACUACGUGCCAGCAGCCGCGGUAAUUC